CAGUCGCCGCGGUAAUACAGAGGGUGCGAGCGUUAAUCGGAAUUACUGGGCGUAAAGCGCGCGUAGGUGGUUUGUUAAGUUGGAUGUGAAAGCCCCGGGCUCAACCUGGGAACUGCAUCCAAAACUGGCAAGCUAGAGUACGGUAGAGGGUGGUGGAAUUUCCUGUGUAGCGGUGAAAUGCGUAGAUAUAGGAAGGAACACCAGUGGCGAAGGCGACCACCUGGACUGAUACUGACACUGAGGUGCGAAAGCGUGGGGAGCAAACAGGAUUAGAUACCCCAGUAGUCCCUGUCUCUUAUAC
rnacentral:rRNA from 1 species